GUACGGGGGGUGCGAGCGUUGUCCGGAAUCACUGGGCGUAAGGCGCGUAGGUGGCCUGGUAAGUCCUGUGGUGAAAGCCCGGGAGCUCAACUCCGGGUCUGCCGCGGAUACUGCGAGGCGUUGAGUGCUGGUAGAGGGGGGUAGAAUGCCGGGUGUAGCGGUGGAAUGCGUAGAGGAUCCGGCAGAACGAGCCGGUGGCGAAGGCGGCCCCCUGGGCCGAUACUGAACGCGUGAGGAGCGGAAAGCGUGGGGAGCCGAAC
rnacentral:rRNA from 1 species